UGGGCUACGACACACGCUACAAUGGGUGAUACAACAGGUUGCAAUAGAGUGGAUCUGGAGCCAAUCCAAAAAAUCAUCCUUAGUUCGGAUUGUAGGCUGAAACUGCCUACAUGAAGUUGGAGUUGCUAGUAAACGCAGGUCAGCACACUGCGUUGAAUACGUUCUCGGGCCUU
rnacentral:rRNA from 1 species